rnacentral:rRNA from 1 species
CCUACGGGGUGCAGCAGUGAGGAAUAUUGGUCAAUGGACGAGAGUCUGAACCAGCCAAGCAGCGUGAAGGAUGACUGCCCUAUGGGUUGUAAACUUCUUUUAUAUGGGAAUAAAACGUUCCACGUGUGGGAUUUUGUAUGUACCAUAUGAAUAAGGAUCGGCUAACUCCGUGCCAGCAGCCGCGGUAAUACGGAGGAUCCGAGCGUUAUCCGGAUUUAUUGGGUUUAAAGGGAGCGUAGGUGGAUUGUUAAGUCAGUAGUGAAAGUUUGCGGCUCAACCGUAAAAUUGCAGUUGAAACUGGCAGUCUUGAGUACAGUAGAGGUGGGCGGAAUUCGUGGUGUAGCGGUGAAAUGCUUAGAUAUCACGAAGAACUCCGAUUGCGAAGGCAGUUCACUGGACUGCAACUGACACUGAGGCUCGAAAGUGUGGGUAUCAAACAGGAUUAGAUACCCGAGUAGUC